rnacentral:rRNA from 1 species
GACGAACGCUGGCGGCGUGCCUAAUACAUGCAAGUCGAGCGAAUCUUGAGGUGCUUGCACCUCUUGGUUAGCGGCGGACGGGUGAGUAACACGUGGGCAACCUGCCUGUAAGACUGGGAUAACUUCGGGAAACCGGAGCUAAUACCGGAUAAUCCUUUUCCUUUCAUGAGGAAAAGCUGAAAGUCGGUUUUUCGCUGACACUUACAGAUGGGCCCGCGGCGCAUUAGCUAGUUGGUGAGGUAACGGCUCACCAAGGCGACGAUGCGUAGCCGACCUGAGAGGGUGAUCGGCCACACUGGGACUGAGACACGGCCCAGACUCCUACGGGAGGCAGCAGUAGGGAAUCUUCCGCAAUGGACGAAAGUCUGACGGAGCAACGCCGCGUGAGCGAUGAAGGCCUUCGGGUCGUAAAGCUCUGUUGUUAGGGAAGAACAAGUAUCGGAGUAACUGCCGGUAUCUUGACGGUACCUAACCAGAAAGCCACGGCUAACUACGUGCCAGCCGCCGCCGUAA